rnacentral:rRNA from 1 species
GAUGAACGCUGGCGGCGUGCCUAAUACAUGCAAGUCGAGCGAACAGACGAGGAGCUUGCUCCUUCGACGUUAGCGGCGGACGGGUGAGUAACACGUAGGUAACCUACCUAUAAGACUGUGAUAACUUCGGGAAACCGGAGCUAAUACCGGAUAAUAUUUCGAACCGCAUGGUUCGAUAGUGAAAGAUGGCUUUGCUAUCACUUAUAGAUGGACCUGCGCCGUAUUAGCUAGUUGGUAAGGUAACGGCUUACCAAGGCAACGAUACGUAGCCGACCUGAGAGAGAGAUCGGCCACACUAGAACUGAGACACGGUCCAGACUCCUACGGAAGGCAGAAGUAGGGAACCUUCAGCAAUAGGGGAAAGCCUGACGGAGCAACGACGAGUGAGUGAUGAAGGUGUUCGGAUAGUAAAAAUCUGUUAUUAGGGAAGAACAAACGUGUAAGUAACUGUACAAGUAUAGACGGUACAGGAUCAGAAAGCCACAGAUAACUACGUG